rnacentral:rRNA from 1 species
CUACGGGAUGCUGCAGUGGGGAAUAUUGCACAAUGGGCGCAAGCCUGAUGCAGCCAUGCCGCGUGUAUGAAGAAGGCCUUCGGGUUGUAAAGUACUUUCAGCGGGGAGGAAGGGAGUAAAGUUAAUACCUUUGCUCAUUGACGUUACCCGCAGAAGAAGCACCGGCAACUCCGUGCCAGCAGCCGCGGUAAUACGGAGGGUGCAAGCGUUAAUCGGAAUUGCUGGGCGUAAAGCGCACGCAGGCGGUUUGUUAAGUCGGAUGUGAAAUCCCCGGGCUCAACCUGGGAACUGCAUCUGAUACUGGCAAGCUUGAGUCUCGUAGAGGGGGGUAGAAUUCCAGGUGUAGCGGUGAAAUGCGUAGAGAUCUGGAGGAAUACCGGUGGCGAAGGCGGCCCCCUGGACGAAGACUGACGCUCAGGUGCGAAAGCGUGGGGAGCAAACAGGAUUAGAUACCCCAGUAGUC